rnacentral:rRNA from 1 species
UACGUAUGGGGCAAGCGUUAUCCGGAUUUACUGGGUGUAAAGGGAGCGCAGGCGACCUGGCAAGCCUGAUGUGAAAUACCGGGGCCCAACCCCGGGGCUGCAUUGGGAACUGCCAGGCUGGAGUGCCGGAGAGGCAGGCGGAAUUCCUAGUGUAGCGGUGAAAUGCGUAGAUAUUAGGAGGAACACCAGUGGCGAAGGCGGCCUGCUGGACGGUGACUGACGCUGAGGCUCGAAAGCGUGGGGAGCAAACAGG